AACGAACGCUGGCGGCAUGCCUAACACAUGCAAGUCGAACGAGACCUUCGUGUCUAUUGGCGCACUGGUUCGUAACGCGUUGGAACCUGCCCUUAUUUUCGGAAUAACUCCCCGAAUGGCGUCCUAAUACCGGUUAUUGUCUUCUGUCCAAAGGUUUAUCGCCUUUGGAUGGUCCCGCGUUGGAUUAGCUAGUUGGUAGGGGAAAAGCCUACCAAUGCGACGAUCCAUAGAUGGUAUGAGAGGAUGAUCAGCCACACUGGGACUGAGAAACGGCCCAGAAUACUAGGGGAGGGAGGAGAGGGGAAUAUAGGAAAAUGGGGGAAAGGAAGAAGGAGGAAUGACGGGUGAGUGAUGAAGGGAUGAGGGAAGUAAAGGAAUUUUAAAAGGGAUGAUAAUGACAGUACCGGGAGAAUAAGCACCGGCUAACUCCGUG
rnacentral:rRNA from 1 species